rnacentral:rRNA from 1 species
AGCAGUAGCCGCGGUAAUACGUAGGUGGCAAGCGUUGUCCGGAAUUAUUGGGCGUAAAGCGCGCGCAGGUGGUUUAAUAAGUCUGAUGUGAAAGCCCACGGCUCAACCGUGGAGGGUCAUUGGAAACUGUUAAACUUGAGUGCAGGAGAGAAAAGUGGAAUUCCUAGUGUAGCGGUGAAAUGCGUAGAGAUUAGGAGGAACACCAGUGGCGAAGGCGGCUUUUUGGCCUGUAACUGACACUGAGGCGCGAAAGCGUGGGGAGCAAACAGGAUUAGAUACCCCAGUAGUCCCUGUCUCUUAUAC